AGUGGCGGACGGGUGAGUAACGCGUAGGAAUCUGCCUUGAAGAGGGGGACAACCCGAGGAAACUCGGGCUAAUACCGCGUGUAAUCGAGAGAUGAAAGGUGCCCUGAAAAGGGUGUCGCUUCAAGAGGAGCCUGCGUCCGAUUAGCUAGUUGGUUAGGUAAAGGCUGACCAAGGCGAUGAUCGGUAACUGGUCUGAGAGGACGACCAGUCACACUGGGACUGAGACACGGCCCAGACUCCUACGGGAGGCAGCAGUGGGGAAUAUUGGACAAUGGGGGCAACCCUGAUCCAGCAAUGCCGCGUGUGUGAAGAAGGCCUUCGGGUUGUAAAGCACUUUAGGACGGGAAGAAGAUUUGGGGUUUAAGAGAUCCUAAGUUUGACGGUACCGUAAGAAUAAGCACCGGCUAACUCUGUGCCAGCAGCCGCGGUAAUACAGAGGGUGCAAGCGUUAAUCGGAGUUACUGGGCGUAAAGGGCGCGUAGGUUGAUAGAUAAGAUGAUUGUGAAAUCCCCGGGCUUAACCUGGGAAUGGCAAUUGUGACUGUUUAUCUGGAGUACUGUAGAGGGUAGUGGAAUUUCCGGUGUAGCGGUGAAAUGCGUAGAGAUCGGAAGGAACACCAGUGGCGAAGGCGGCUACCUGGGCAGAUACUGACACUGAGGCGCGAAAGCGUGGGGAGCAAACAGGAUUAGAUACCCCGGUAGUCCACGCUGUAAACGAUGAAAACUAGAUGUUGUUAGGCCUAGACCUAUUAGUAUCGAAGCAAACGCGAUAAGUUUUCCGCCUGGGGAGUACGGUCGCAAGAUUAAAACUCAAAGAAAUUGACGGGGGCCCGCACAAGCGGUGGAGCAUGUGGUUUAAUUCGA
rnacentral:rRNA from 1 species